rnacentral:misc_RNA from 1 species
GGACAACGUAAUAAAACAAACUGAUAUUCGGUAGUCCAUUCCCUUUAUAAACACAUCACAUUGCAUCUACUUUCCCACAAUCUUCAUUUCAGUGCCCAUUUCCUGCUAUCCCUACACUGAGAUGAAGCCAAUGGCAAUCCCACUUUCUCUUUUAACUCUUUUACUAGUAGCAGUGGCUCCAAGAUUCAUUUCUUCUUCACCAGUUCAGGAUCCUGAAUUAGUAGUAGAAGAAGUUCACAGGAGCAUCAAUGCAUCCAGGAGGAAUUUGGGGUUUCUCUCCUGUGGAACGGGCAAUCCAAUUGACGAUUGCUGGCGGUGUGACCCCAACUGGGAGAAGAACCGGCAGAGGUUGGCUGAUUGUGCAAUUGGGUUUGGUAAACAUGCCAUUGGUGGGAGAGAUGGUAAGAUAUAUGUUGUUACAGAUUCUGGAGAUGAUGACCCUGUGAACCCCAAGCCAGGGACUUUAAGACAUGCAGUUAUCCAAGAUGAGCCUCUCUGGAUAAUUUUUGCUCGUGACAUGGUGAUCAAGCUAAAGGAAGAGCUUAUAAUGAACUCUUUCAAGACCAUUGAUGGAAGAGGAGCUAGUGUCCACAUUGCAGGUGGUCCAUGUAUCACUAUACAAUAUGUGACCAAUAUUAUAAUCCAUGGUAUAAAUAUACAUGACUGUAAGCAAGGAGGGAAUACUUACGUGAGGGACUCCCCUAGCCAUUAUGGGUGGAGGACUAUAUCAGACGGUGACGGUGUAUCCAUCUUUGGAGGGAGUCAUGUGUGGGUUGAUCAUUGCUCUUUGUCAAAUUGCAAUGAUGGAUUAAUUGAUGCCAUCCAUGGUUCCACAGCCAUUACUAUCUCUAACAAUUACAUGACUCAUCAUAACAAGGUUAUGCUCAUGGGCCACAGUGAUACCUAUACUCAGGAUAAGAACAUGCAGGUCACAAUUGCCUUCAACCAUUUUGGAGAAGGGCUGGUGCAGAGAAUGCCAAGGUAAAGUCCCCAAUUCAUUAUUUUAUCUUUGAUUCGCUAUGCAAAAUUGCAAAUGGGUGUAGGCAGAGUAAGGCUAUGUGGUUCCGAUCCUUGAGAAUUCCUUAUUUUUUAUCCACAUUUGUAGGUGUAGACACGGGUAUUUCCAUGUUGUGAACAAUGACUAUUCACAUUGGGAAAUGUAUGCAAUUGGUGGCAGUGCUGAUCCUACAAUUAAUAGUCAAGGAAACAGAUUUGUUGCUCCUAAUGAUAGAUUUAACAAAGAGGUGAGUACACUAAAUGAUCUCUUCAUGGUAACAUUAGUUUCUGAUCCAUGGUCCAGAAUUGACACAUUUAACUUCAACAUGUUUACUAAAAUUUCAGGUGACUAAGCAUGAGGAUGCACCAGAGAGUGAGUGGAGGCGUUGGAAUUGGAGGUCUGAAGGAGAUUUGUUGCUAAAUGGAGCAUUCUUUACUCCAUCUGGGGCUGGAGCUUCUUCUAAUUAUGCAAGAGCAUCUAGCUUAGGUGCGAGACCAUCUUCCCUAGUGAGUUCAAUCACAGCAGGAUCAGGCGCGCUUUUUUGCAAGAAGGGUAAACGUUGUUGAUUAGUGGCUUUGCUUAGCCCAGCAGCAAUGAUCAAGCUUCAGGGAAAGGGUAAAAGGUGUGAAAAUAUAAGGUUAAAAAUACAAUAAAGACAAUUGUAAUUACAUGGGGAAUUAGGUUCUAAUUUUUCUUUUAAUAUAUCUUUCUACUCUUGAUAUUGAUGGUUACAACCUGGUUCUAUAAGACAGACCAUCAUGUGUAUACCUAAAUGGAGAACCUUGAUAGAAGACUCCAUGCAUUCCAAGUCAAAUAUUAGAGAAAACCAAAGAAAAAUAUAUGAUGUAUAAGAUAGAAUUAGACAUAUCUUUCAUUUUACACUGGAAUUAGUAAUUAUUAUUUUAUGAGAAAAUUAAAGUAUAUUCACAAGGUAAGGGGGUCAUAUCGCACAAGCUAACUUCUCUGCGAUCACAUGGACUGAAACCAACAAAAGUUGAAAGAAAAGGCAUGUGGUACCUUCUUUAUUGGGACCAUUUUCUUCAGUGGAAGUGCUUACAACCAGAUGUUUAUAUCCGUUUGACAAACUUGCAGUGGCAUCUAAUGCUUUGUAUCAAAAGGAUAGCAAUUCUACCCGACCAUUCACCCAUCACCUAACGACCAAUGCUUCCAUUAUUAAAGCUCCUGUCUCCCACAACUCCUGUUGCCAUAAAUGGCACUAACCCUCCCAUCUAGCCUAGAAAAGAAAAGGGGUACGCAGAAAUGGAAACGAUUAUAAUUUUUACACUCCUUUGUCUCGUUUGUUUGUUUUAAUUUAUGAUCUUUUCAAUCACUUGGCAUUGUUUAAAUGGAUGAUGCAAUUAACACUUCUUGGCAGUGUUAUUUUGUAUAAAAGAAUAGAAAGGCAAAUAAAGCAAAAGUUCUCACAAAUAUCACAUAUCUGCAAUAAUAAAUAUUAGAAUAAUUUAAGGAGAAUAACAACAGGAAAAAAAAAAAAA